rnacentral:rRNA from 1 species
UCUAGAAAUUUGGACAAUGGUCGAAAGGCUGAUCCAGCGACACUAUGUGAGGGAUGAAGGUCUUCGGAUUGUAAACCUCUGUCAGGGGGAACGAUGAUGACGGUACCCCCAGAGGAAGCCCCGGCUAAUUCCGUGCCAGCAGCCGCGGUAAUACGGGAGGGGCAAGCGUUGUCCGGAAUCAUUGGGUGUAAAGGGAGCGUAGGCGGAUUUAAAAGUCGGAGAUUAAAACUAUGGGCUCAACUCAUAGCUAUUCUCCGAUACUGUAAAUCUUGAGCUUGAAAGGGGAAAGUGGAAUUCCUGGUGUAACGGUAAAAUGUGUGGAUAUCAGGAAGAACACUCGUGGCGAAGGCGGCUUUCUAUUUCAAUGCUGACGCUGAGGUUCGAAAGUUAGGGGAGCAAACAGG